rnacentral:rRNA from 1 species
AGAGUUUGAUCCUGGCUCAGGAUGAAUUUCUAGCGACAGGCCUAACACAUGCAAGUCGAGGGGCAUCGGGGAGCGAAGCUUGCUUUGCUCCGCCGGCGACCGGCGCACGGGUGAGUAACGCGUAUGCAACCUGCCCGUUUCAGCGGGAUAACCCGGAGAAAUCCGGCCUAAUACCGCAUGUGGCCGAGGGAAGGCAUCUUCUUUCGGCCAAAGGAGGCGACUCCGGAGACGGAUGGGCAUGCGUGACAUUAGCUUGUUGGCGGGGUAACGGCCCACCAAGGCGACGAUGUCUAGGGGUUCUGAGAGGAAGGUCCCCCACACUGGUACUGAGACACGGACCAGACUCCUACGGGAGGCAGCAGUGAGGAAUAUUGGUCAAUGGGCGAGAGCCUGAACCAGCCAAGCCGCGUGAAGGAAGGCGGCCAUAGAGGAUUGUAAACUUCUUUUGUCAAGGAACAAUAGGGUCCACGGGGUGGCUGAAUGAGAGUACCUGAAGAAAAAGCAUCGGCUAACUCCGUGCCAGCAGCCGCGGUAAUACGGAGGAUGCGAGCGUUAUCCGGAUUUAUUGGGUUUAAAGGGUGCGCAGGCGGUAUAUCAAGUCAGCGGUAAAAAUUCGGGGCUCAACCCCGUCCUGCCGUUGAAACUGACGUUCUUGAGUGGGAGAGAAGUAUGCGGAAUGCGUGGUGUAGCGGUGAAAUGCAUAGAUAUCACGCAGAACUCCGAUUGCGAAGGCAGCAUACCGGCUCCCCACUGACGCUGAAGCACGAAAGCGUGGGUAUCGAACAGGAUUAGAUACCCUGGUAGUCCACGCAGUAAACGAUGAAUGAUGGCUGUCCGGGGGGGACUGACCUCUGGGUGAAGCAGCGAAAGCGAUAAGCAUUCCACCUGGGGAGUACGCCGGCAACGGUGAAACUCAAAGGAAUUGACGGGGGCCCGCACAAGCGGAGGAACAUGUGGUUUAAUUCGAUGAUACGCGAGGAACCUUACCCGGGCUCAAACGGGGAGUGGCGCAGGCAGAGACGCCUGUUUCCCACGGGACACUCCCCGAGGUGCUGCAUGGUUGUCGUCAGCUCGUGCCGUGAGGUGUCGGCUUAAGUGCCAUAACGAGCGCAACCCCCGCGUGCAGUUGCUAACAGUCAACGCUGAGGACUCUGCACGGACUGCCGGCGCAAGCCGCGAGGAAGGCGGGGAUGACGUCAAAUCAGCACGGCUCUUACGUCCGGGGCGACACACGUGUUACAAUGGCAGGUACAGCGGGAAGCCACCCGGCGACGGGGCGCGGAACCCGAAAACCUGUCUCAGUUCGGAUUGGAGUCUGCAACCCGACUCCAUGAAGCUGGAUUCGCUAGUAAUCGCGCAUCAGCCACGGCGCGGCGAAUACGUUCCCGGGCCUUGCACUCACAGGCCGUCA